UACGGAGGAUCCAAGCGUUAUCCGGAUUUAUUGGGUUUAAAGGGUGCGUAGGCGGCCUAUUAAGUCAGGGGUGAAAGACGGUAGCUUAACUAUCGCAGUGCCUUUGAUACUGAUAGGCUUGAAUGUACUUGAGGUAGGCGGAAUGUGACAAGUAGCGGUGAAAUGCAUAGAUAUGUCACAGAACACCAAUUGCGAAGGCAGCUUACUAAAGUAUGAUUGACGCUGAGGCACGAAAGCGUGGGGAUCAAACAGG
rnacentral:rRNA from 1 species